GGGGGAUUUUCAACACUUCGGACAAUAACUCAAAAAAGGCUUUCACCAAUGUCCAUGAAACUUUGGUGAAUUGUUUAUAUCUAUUGAUGUAAGCUCCCUUUCAAUUUUUAUAAAUUUCAGAUUUUAAGUUUUGGAUUUAUGGGGCUUUAUUCAUAAAAAAAAAGGGGGGGGGGAUUUUCAACACUUCGGACAAUAACUCAAAAAGGCUUUCACCAAUGUCCAUGAAACUUUGGUGAAUUGUUUUAUAUCUAUUGAUGUAAGCUCCUUUUCAAUUUUUAUAAAUUUCAGAUUUUAAGUUUUGGAUUUAUGGGGCUUUAUUCAUAAAAAAAGGGGGAUUUUCAACACUUCGGACAAUAACUCAAAAAGGCUUUCACCAAUGUCCAUGAAACUUUGGUGAAUUGUUUAUAUCUAUUGAUGUAAGCUCCCUUUCAAUUUUUAUAAAUUUCAGAUUUUACAUUUCCGUGUUAUGAAUUUUUAUGCUUAAAAAAGGGGGGAUUUUCCAAUUUUGGG
rnacentral:lncRNA from 1 species